UACGUAGGGUGCAGGCGUUAAUCGGAAUUACUGGGCGUAAAGCGUGCGCAGGCGGUUUCUUAAGUCAGAUGUGAAAGCCCCGGGCUUAACCUGGGAACUGCGUUUGAAACUGGGAGACUUGAGUGUGGCAGAGGGGGUGGAAUUCCGACGUGUAGCGUGAAAUGCGUAGAUAUGUGGAGGAACACCAAUGGCGAAGGCAGCCCCCUGGGUCAACACUGACGCUCAUGCACGAAAGCGUGGGGAGCAAACAGG
rnacentral:rRNA from 1 species